rnacentral:rRNA from 1 species
CCUACGGGUGGCAGCAGUGGGGAAUUUUGCGCAAUGCUCGUAAGAGUGACGCAGCGACGCCGCGUGAAUGACGAAGGCCUUCGGGUCGUAAAGUUCUUUCGACAGGGAAGAAAAUGCCUAUAAGUAACUGUGUAUGUAUUGACGGUACCUGUAUAAGCAGCCCCGGCUAACUCCGUGCCAGCAGCCGCGGUAAUACGGAGGAUGCGAGCGUUAUCCGGAUUUAUUGGGUUUAAAGGGUGCGUAGGCGGACUGUUAAGUCAGCGGUAAAAGCCCGGGGCUCAACCCCGGCGAGCCGUUGAAACUGGCUGUCUUGAGAUGUCGAGAGGUAUGCGGAAUGCGCAGUGUAGCGGUGAAAUGCUUAGAUAUUGCGCAGAACUCCGAUUGCGAAGGCAGCAUACCGGCGGCGAUCUGACGCUGAGGCACGAAAGCGUGGGUAUCGAACAGGAUUAGAUACCCGUGUAGUC